UGCAGUCGACGGUAACAGGAUGUGCUUGCACAUCGCUGACGAGUGGCGGACGGGUGAGUAAUGCUUGGGAACUUGCCUUUGCGAGGGGGAUAACAGUUGGAAACGACUGCUAAUACCGCAUAAUGUCUUCGGACCAAACGGGGCUUCGGCUCCGGCGCAAAGAGAGGCCCAAGUGAGAUUAGCUAGUUGGUAAGGUAACGGCUUACCAAGGCGACGAUCUCUAGCUGUUCUGAGAGGAAGAUCAGCCACACUGGGACUGAGACACGGCCCAGACUCCUACGGGAGGCAGCAGUGGGGAAUAUUGCACAAUGGGGGAAACCCUGAUGCAGCCAUGCCGCGUGUGUGAAGAAGGCCUUCGGGUUGUAAAGCACUUUCAGUUGUGAGGAAAAGUUAGUAGUUAAUACCUGCUAGCCGUGACGUUAACAACAAGAAGAAGCACCGGCUAACUCCGUGCCAGCAGCCGCGGUAAUACGGGAGGGGUGCGAGCGUUAAUCGGAAUUACUGGGCGUAAGCGCACGCAGGCGGUUUGUUAAGCUAGAUGUGAAAGCCCCGGGCUCAACCUGGGAUGGUCAUUUAGAACUGGCAGACUAGAGUCUUGGAGAGGGGAGUGGAAUUCCAGGUGUAGCGGUGAAAUGCGUAGAUAUCUGGAGGAACAUCAGUGGCGAAGGCGACUCCCUGGCCAAAGACUGACGCUCAUGUGCGAAAGUGUGGGUAGCGAACAGGAUUAGAUACCCUGGUAGUCCACACCGUAAACGCUGUCUACUAGCUGUGUGUGCCUUUAAGGCGUGCGUAACCAAAGCUAA
rnacentral:rRNA from 1 species